ensembl:lncRNA
GGCAGCAGCUAGCCAAGCCCAAUCUCGGGGGCAUCCUGCACCCACGGCCGGGUGUCCUCACCAAAGACUUCAGAGAGCUGGAUGUAGAUUUUCAACAUGUCUACAGCCUCAACGACCUCGAGGAAGAUGAGCCUGAUCUGUCCAAAUUCCCAAACCUCCCGAAAGGCACUGUGGUCCCUUCAUCCGGACCUAACAUCCCUCAGACCUCAAACACCCCCCCGACCACUAGCUGUCAGAUCCUCCGUCCCUCUGCCCUCCUCUCCUCCUUCUCCACCAGUUUUUUCUUAUUUUGCCUCCUUCCAUCUGUAACAGGAAGCGCUGGAACCGGCUCUUUGUAAAGUUAUAAAACCAUCCUCCAUAAAGUAAGGCGUGUCAUGCAUGGUCUCUUUGAACCCUUUACUAGGAUCGUCUGUUAAAUUACGAAAUCCAUCCACUAACUUUCUUUCUCUCUAACCUUAGGUUUCAUAACAUGGUAGCAUAACAGCAUCAGGACAUUUUAUUACUAAUUCCGUCUUCUCUCCUACAGAUAUAGGUUUAGGUAUUGCUGGAGUACUGUUAUGUCUUAUUGUACAUCUGUUUUAACAUAAUGCUAAGGUCAUGUUUUACUGGGGGAAAUUAAUGUAGUAUGAUCAUUCUCAAAAAAUGCUGAAGUUAUGAAUUCAGUUCAGUUCUCCCAUAAAAGUUG